GCCCCCGGUGGCCGCGGGCGCUUCCCGGUGGAGCGGCCGCGACACCCCCGUGCCCGCUCCCGCGGGCGGCGCAGGCUGCGCUCAGCCGAUCCGCAACCCACCCCCCGUGUCAUUUCUCAUCGCCCAGCGCCGAGCAGGCUGUUCCUGUAAAGUUGCAGGCGUCUCCUUAAAAAUCCAGAAUGAAUUUGAAGACAUUAAAAAACACAGUAUAGUGUAACAAGGAAGAAACAGUACUGAGGUCUGACCUUGGUGGAUUAUUCAUGUGCUUGAAGUUACACAAGUAUUUUGUUCUGCUUACCACAGUGACUGGAGCAAGGGAAGAAAGACUGGCACCAAAAUCAGUGCCCCAUGAACUUAAUCAUAUGAAGUUAUCUAUAUAAUAAAGGAGGUUUCUGAACUGAAACCAAUGACGAAUCCUUCACAGAUCCUCCAGUGAAAUGAAAAUAAUGGUGAAAAAACUCAUUUAUCAUUGAAAGAGAGCAUUACAUUAAAUAAGGUAUCGCCACUGGGAAAUACCUGUGUUGGAAUCCCCUUCUCUGAACUUGUAAGUAUCUUCAGCAAAGAAUGAACACGAAAUAGUACAUUGAAACAAAAUUUUCUGUUCAGUCAGUUUAAUGAAAAUACAAAAUUUUACUGAGAUGUUGCAUAUAAUUUUUAGUUCUCUCUUUAAAUAGUUGCUACCCUAUUUUAAUUGCCCCUAGGAUUAUCUAACUCUGUAAGUUCCUUUUGUCCUAAAUAUACCAUUUUUUGAACAGCACUAGUAACUCAAGAGUGACUUUCACCUGUGGAGGCUUUACAAUACACACCCCUCAAAGAGGAAAAAAAUGUCCUAAGAACAUCCAUGAGUGGGGAAAAUGCCCUACUGAGUUGGACUGUGGAUCUUUUUUUCUCAGAGAGUGGCAAGAUACCCUAGCAUACAUCAGGUAUUUUGAGUGUACAUCAAAUGCCAUCUCUCCUCCAGACAGGCUCAUUGAAGUUCCUGCUGUGCUUUUCCCCUUGCACUUUUUAUUUAUGCACUCCCUAACCAAGACCCUUUUAAGUUGCAGGAUCUCCUCUUCAACAGCUUCCAGGUCCUUUGGUUGUUUGUGUCACCAGAAGAAGGAAGCUGGAUGGAGGGAUCCUGGUGACAGUGGAACCUGUGUCUAUUCAUGUCAUCAUUCUCCCACAUCUCCAGGCAGAGCAUCACUGGGCAGCAUCCACCUGCUCCUUGGUUAACCUUCAAAAGUGAUGAGUGAUGUCAGGGUUUCUCUGCUUCAUGCCCUCCUCCAGUUCCCUAGCUUUGUAUUUUCAGUGCUGUAACUCUUCCCUUCCCAUCAUUUGUUGUUUGUUGUUUAUUUUUUGUCCUUGUUUUCAUUACCUAUAGCCCUCUCCCUCCCUUGGGGGUCUUCAAGGUUUUGUUUAUACAGCAUUCUGUUUUUUCUAAACAGAAAAGGAAAUAGAAACAGCAGCAGUAGGAGAAACUAUUUACAGAGUGCACACAAGUUUGGCCACCGUCUUCACUUUUCUUUGUACUCCCCUACCUUCUGUGGCUCUUACAAAGGUCCCAUGAAGUUUUACCAUCUUUUGUAUAAUGCAUGAACAUGUCUGUUGAUCCAAUUGCUGUGUUUGUGUUCUACAAAAGGUUUUUGUUUCUAAGUACAUGUUCUGCUCUGGUAAUUAUCCCUCCUGCACUGUAAUUCAAGCCUGAAAGUUGAUUUAUUCUCCAUGUGUUCUUUUUACAAUUAAAUGUGUCGCCUUUGUAACUGACGUACAUCUGACAAAGCUGAUCUAAACAGUUGCAGAAAUGUCUCAUUGCCUUCACAGUUCUGAGCCCAAUUAACUUGUCAACAUUUUCCAGUGGUUAUUUACUACAGAUUUACCACAGCUCUAAUCAGCUACAGAGGCAGGAGAAUGAAGGACAAUUGGGGUAAGGGAGUGUCUUUCCUUGCAGUUUUCUAGUAACAAGUGGAUCCUCAAGAAGCAAGUAUUUAGGGUCUGUAGGAGUCAAAAUGGUGAUGGGUCAGAAAAUCACAAAGAGGUUUCUUCAGUGAUUGUGUUCUGAUUCUGAAGCCUACUGAAAUUAGUUUUUGUAUGAAUAAUUAUUUCAUUCUUGGUUAUUUCUACAGCCACAUUUAAAAAUGAGAUUAUCCCAUCUGUCUUAGCAUACUUCAGAUGUCAUUGGCAUGCAGUUUGCUACUUAAAGACCAGCUUCUGCUAUCUUUGUUCAUCAUAUCUCAGAAUACCACAGCUGCAUAGAAAAGGUGAAAACAGAACAAAAUUAGAACAUAAGCUAUUGUUCUAAUAGCAUUAAUCCCUUUCAUAAUUUGCUUUUUUCAUGUAUGCUGUAUCACCCAAACUAAAUUACUGUAGAUCCUCCUAGGAAGCAGCUCAAUUAAAUUUGUGUGACUUAAAUAUACCCAGAGAUAGCAAGGCACGUUGCUAGAGAGCAGGUCAGUGCACAUGGCACUUUCUGGAGCUGUUAAAAAGUGCAGAGAUCAGAAGCUGUUGAUCCAGCCCAACACCUUUACAACAAAUACUGUGCUCAAAACACCUUCAUUCUUUUAUGAGACAGCAAGCAGCUACUCCCUUUGAGAGGGCUCUGCUCUCACACUGCAGAUCUGUUUCCUUCACCACAACCAUCAGGGCAGCAGAGCAUUCCCUCCUGGCACGGGGGCAGGAGCAGCAGCAGCACUGGUGCUGCCAGAGGUUCCCAGCAGCCUCCUCCAGCUCUUAGGUCCAUCACUGCCCACUAGUGACACGAUGGUACCAUGGUGUUGGUGGUGCCAGAUGGAUUGGGAAACACAUUUACUGUCAGGGUUCAUCAAAACCUGUGAUGUCCAGAAGGUUUGGCACUCUUUGAAAAAAGGCGUCUCUGUGAGUGUGGUUAUUUUCAAACCUUGCUGCAGUGAGGGGAGAUGCUUUGGGUCUGGGAAAGUAUGUAUUGGGUUCAAACACAAAAUCAUGUUGAUCUGUCCAUAAAUACGUCAAAUUGUUAUUCUGGUUUUAAGGUAAUUUGAGUUGUAAUUUUGGUUUUAAAAUUACAACUAAAAUUACAAUUAAAAUGAUAUGUAAUGAAUAUAAAACUAAAGUUGUUUCUUUUCCAAGAGGGCGCUGUGGCUGAAUGGAAACCAUGGUAACUAGGGUGGCAUAAUGCUGGUACCUUGCUCCUGAGUGAUAAAAAUGCACAUAGAGUAGGUUUUGUGCUUAGCAACAAAAAGGUUGGAUUUUCAAAUAGCUCCCUCUAGCCCUCCAUUACAGCUGCCACCCUUGUCCUAUGCACUGUGUAUCCCAAGCUUCAUACUUUCAUGUUCAUUAAUCCUUUAGGCAUUCAAUAAGCAGCAGAAAAUACAUUUCACACAAAAGAAAGUAAUUUAAUUUUUUUGGCUAUUGCUUUAGAAGAAUAUAAAACUCAGAUCUCUUCCCUGUAGAGCUGUUGGGAAGUAUGACUCAUCCUUGCCCAACAUGUUGGAUGUUCACUUUAAUUAGAUAUGUGCAUCUAAAGAUUGUUGUAAACACUUGUUGUUAAUAGCAUAUUACUCCCUGUUUUACAAUGGGAAGUAUAAACAAUCCUAAUACAUUUAAUACAUUAAGCUGUACAUUUUAAGUCAUGUUAGGGCAGCACACUGGCAGAAAUUAAUUAGGAAAAUUCUCUAAUUAGCAUAUCUUGGCUGCUUUACAAAUCACGUUGGCAUGAAAAAUUGGAAUAAUGCAAAUUUUACUCUACAAUGAUGCUUAAAUAUUUUAUAAAUACUAAAUAUUGUUACACAAAUCUUUGAUAUCUACCUAUGUGGUAAAUCUGGAUGGAGAUCCAGUUUAUUUAUAAUAAUGAGUGAAAAGAGAUAAAGUAUUGCUACUUUCUUGUUGGUGAUGGUGCAUGUGAAAUAGGCUAACCUUUAUAGAAUCACAGAAUAGUUUGGUUUGGAAGGGACCUUUAAAGGUCAUUUAGCCCAACCCCUCUGCAAUGAGCAGGGACAUCUUCAACUAGGUCUGGUUGCUCAGAGCCCCAUCCGAACUGACCUUCAGUGUUUCCAGGGGUGUGGCAGCCACCACCUCUCUGAGCAGCUAGUUCUAGGGUUUCACAACCCAUGUCAUAAAAAGCAAAUAUUCCUUAUAUCCAGUCUACAUUGACCAGCUUUUAAUUUAAAGCCAUUCCCUCUUGUUUUAUCACUGUCUGCCUGUGUAAAAAGUCUGUCCUUUUCUUUCUCACAGGCCCUCUUAGGGCACAAAAGGCACCUAUAAGGUUUGCCCAGGCCCCCUCCAGGCCUCUCCAGCACAAACUCUCAGCAUUUAUUCAUUAGGAGAGGUGCUCCAGCCCGCUGAUCAUCUUCAUGGUCCUUCUCUGGACCCAUUCUAACAGGUCCAUGUUCUUCCUCUGCUGAGGACCCCAGGCUGGAUGCAGUACUCCAUGUGGGGCCUCACUCGAUUGGAGCAGAGGAGUUCUGCCUUGACUUGCUGCCCUCACUUCUUUUUCAUGUCACAUACACAUAUUUUGCUCAGUACAGGCAGGUGAUUUGUCUUUAUACUUAGCUGGGAUCUAAGCAACCCACACACCAGUGCCAGCAUAUGACACAGCACAAAUUGAUGAUCCAGAGAUUUUGCAAUCUCUCUCUUGGGAGAUUGUAAAAAAGAACAGGAAUGUUAUGUCUUUCCAAAUGUGACUUAGCAUACUUGAGUAAGCUUGACUGCUCUCAAAAUCUAGUAUGAGAAUGAUAAUACCAUGUGGUUUUUUGUGUAUAUGUCUUUCUCUGUUGUGCAGAAAUUAAUUAUAUUUGUCUGUAAGCAACCUGUCUUUUUUUCUCUUUUUAAAGUUCACUGACAUUUACUGACUCAGGAUGUACAGUAUUUCAUAACCAUAAUGCUAUAUCACCAUGUGUUAAAAGGAAGGCUCUAGGGUAUUAGACUGACUUUAUUAACAUCAUCUGUACUUUAAGAGUGUUUUCACAUGGUCAGAUCAAUAGCAUAUGAUUUAAACAUUACUGUGCCUUUUACUGCUCAGAAAUCUUCACACGGUACCACUUCACACUUUCACAGAGUGUAUUUCACUGUUUUUAUCUGUCAGCCAGAAAAAUUCCUGAACAACAGAAUCUGAACUAGUCUUAUCUCUGAGAAAUUUACAGACACCUUAGUGUUAAUCUGAAGACAUAAUUGUACAUACUUUUGAUCACAUGCAUAAUUUCUUUUGGUGGAAACCUGACCAUUUAUGUAAAUAAAGACUCAUCUAAGCUGCACAAUCAGGACUUGAGAGUCUAGGUCAUUCCAUUCAUUUAAUGAGGAUAAUGGUGCACCCCUGCACUGGCACAGGCUGGACUUCACCUUUUCUCCCACAGUUCUUUUGUGGCAGCUCAGAAUUUUUUGGCUUUCUUUUACCUUUAAUUUGCACUUAAACACCUGCCAGAAAGACAAAUGCGUAUACAUCACAGGACUAUCAGAGAGUCUUCCUGGAGUGAUUUAAGUGACACGACAACAAUUUGUUGUAUGCUCCUAAGGCAAUGAUCAAAAAAAUAGCAACCACAUUUCUUCAUGUGGCUGAUGUAGACCUAAGGCAGUAAGAAAUUGUGGAUUUUUUUGUGUUGUGUCAUUAAGAAAAUGUGGGAGAACUUGAAAGUAAAAUGUCACCUCGCUUAUGCCUUUCAGUACCAUUAAAACACAGAAUCAAGGCAUGUUAACAGUCUGUACCAGAUUUGUUUCCAAAUAUUUAAUAAGUUUGAUGCUUUAGAAAAUGAAUAACAACUAUGGAUCUUUUAAGCAUGUAAUAAAUGGAAACAAUUUUCACAAAGUGUUCACACUGUAAUGUGGAUCUUGUAACCUUAUUACCAGAAAAUGUUACUACAGAGGAGUUGCUAAGAGAAGCGGAGCAGUUGUGAGCUUAUGUAUAAUUUUUCUACAUUACUGUUCAUUAAAUAAAAUAAGGCAAUAUUAUUUCCAUUGGUAAACCACAGAGAAAAAAGAGGGAUAAGUUUUGCCUGGAUUUUUGCUCGUUUCCUUGUUCACCCACCCACAGCCCCAGCUGCUGCUUUCCAGAGACAAAUGCAUUGCCUGGUACUAAGUAUAUGUAGACAAAACAUGCAAGCUGACAGGAAGAGUGAUGGUGUUACUAUUGCAGGAAUAAUCCUUAAAUUGUAUGUUUAUAUUCUGUUGAAUGAUUUCUUUGUCUUUUAAGCUACAUUAUAGUGCUUUUUCCAUCUAUGCAUGUUUUAUAGAUGAGGUGGUAGAGUUAGCUCCCAGCAGAAACAGGAAUUGGAAAGAUGACAUUCCCAGCAAAGGAGUAAAGCACAGAUGGAUGGAACGAAGUUUCUUUCUGAUAAUUUUUAAUAUUCUGGUGAUGCUGAAAGAUAUUUGGCCAGGCAGAAGCAAUAUGGAAAAACUCUUCCAUCUUCCAGUCUUCCAGCAGAACAACAAUGGGCAACAGUCACAAGUUGAAACAGGAAAUUUUGCCCAGCUGUUAAGAAAUUACUUUUCCCACAAAGACAGUUAAGCACUGGAAUGGGUUGCCCAUGUUGUAGAAUCUACAGGUUUGGAAGUAUUCAAAGCUUGACUGCACUAGAAAAAUUAUUCCAAUUAUUACAAUCUAAAUUACUCUAUGAUUCUAUGAAUUCAAAAAUGUUUACAACACAAUGCCCAGUGUUUUGAGGUAGCAAGUGGUCUGCCUCAUCCCAAAUGCUCAGGUCUUCUUCCAAGAUCAUUCCUCCUGCCAUGAGAUCCCACAUCUCUAGAUGGCGUCCUGAAGUUGACUUGGAUGCUGCCCAGCCAUGGUUAAAACUUUGACCUAGGUCCUGCAGGUCAGUAAGAUGCCAGUGCUACUCUUCCUGUUGACUUUGUAUAACUUUGAUGGAAAAUGGAUAAGCUUUGAAAGUAUUACAGACCUUAUAGAAGCUGCUAAUGAUUUGCAACUUUAUGUGCAAAAUUAAAAAGUGCAAUAGAAAUAUUUUGGUAGCAUGGCAAGAGAUGCAUAUGUAAAAAAAAACAUGCUUAGGAAAAGUCCAUAUUGAUUUCUCAUACCUAUAUUUUUUUUAUUCCUACUCUGCUUCUAGCAGACCUCAGAAAAAAAUAGGUAAUAUUAUUCCUAAUAGCAAAACAGAGAAAAACAUAACAGUAAAUCAAAUAAUGUUUUGUGUAAUGACUUAUCCAAGAGCUAUGGAGUGAAGCAUCCUUGCAGAACACAGAUUAACAAAUAUUAUUCUUGUUAUCAUAGUUUACAUUUAGUAUUUGAUCCUGGUAAGUCACAUUCCCAAAUGAUGCAAACGGGUCCAUUGAGAUGUCCCUGCAUAAAUUUAAUGAUGUUCUUAUAAAAAUCUCUGGCCACCUGCAGCAUAUAUAGAUUUGCCAGGGCUUUGGGGAAAAGUUUGAUUUGCAGACAGGGGUUAUUUGCAAGGAUUCAGCAACAAAACCAUCUGUCUGCAUCUCCUCCAUAGCCUGAAACUCUAUUUUAAUCUAGUGUAUCUAGUGAAGGGACACAACAGCUGUUUUCUCAUCUUUAAGCCACAUUUUUUCAGCUGAAUCUUUAGAUAACCACUCUGCAACUCCAGAGACAGUUUGACCAAUUGGAAUGCACACUGGAUUUUUAUCUCUUAAGUAACCAUUUUUUCUUAUCUUGAAAAUAGCUUGAAAACCAAUAGAAUGUGAAGUUAGUUCAGAUUCAAGUUGUCUUCCAUUUGAAACAAACCUUUGAUGAAGACUGGAAAAAUGCAGCGUAUCCCUGUCUAGCACCAGGUGUAGAAAGGAUAUAACAUUUGAAAAUCCUUCUUGACACAUUCUUCAACCUGACAUUUGAAUAUUUAUCUAGCAUUUCCCUUGCUCUUCUCUUGAAGAAGCCAAGAUAAUCUGUGCAGGAGAAGGCAAAGGAGAUGCUAUCAUUUCACCAGAGACAAAAGAUGAUUUUAGAAAAGGCAUUUCAUGUUGUUAAAAACUAAAAACAAGGGAAAUUGUCAGAGCCUGUGUUAAAUUUAAGACAGAAAGGAGUAGUAGCACAUCAAGAGCCCUAUGUAAUUUAUAUCAGUAUGUCCUGCAUUUUGACUUUAACUACAUUUAGGUUUUCAUCUUUCAUUUUCAGAAGUAUUGAGCAGCUAAGACAGAAGAAGCAGUUCAUUUUUCACAUUUUAAGUUGCAGCAAUCUCAAGAGGAUUUGAGUAAGCAUGACUUACACUCAUUCAGCUUUUGUUCUUGAUUGAGAACUAAUUACACUUUUUUGGCAACAUUAAACAUGUUAUGCUAGAGUGCAAUGUUGUAGCAAGGGCUGAAUUCUGUAACAAGUUCCACAGCAGCAGAAUGAUAGCAAAAAUUUUUGAGUCUAGAAGUCUAACAAGGGCUUCGCAUACUGCUCUGUCAGUAAAUCUGUGUAUUUCCUUAGCCUAUCUCCCAAACACUGCAGUUUCAUUGCUUUCUGAAGGGUAGAGAAUUAUGUAUUUAUGUACAGGGUCAUGGACUGUAUGCAACACAAGCAGGUAUUGAUGCUAUCUGUUGAAAGAACAGAUUUGCUUUUAGUUGCAUCUUCUCAGCUUUUAAUCACAGCUAUAUGUUCAUGGUAAAAUUCAAAUAAUUUUAUUCAAAAUGUACUCAGCAGUACAUUUAUUUCAAAGGGUUAAAAAGCCAUGAUUAAAUGUCAACCUAUUAAGAGAGUCACAAGAAAAAUGGCUCAAUUUCUCAAAUUGCUACAUUAAUGAAAACUUCUCAAUAUAAAAAGGGUUUAAUAUUGAAGAAUUGCAUGUGCCGAAGUGAGCUGAUAGAAUUUAUCUUUGUUAAGUGAUGACAGCUGUGAAUUUGUUCCCACAAAGGAAAUCUUUAACUGGUGACAGCUAAUUGAGAAAGGCAGAACACAGUAUGGAAUUUAUUUCCACUUUCCUCCUCUGCAGAGAAGCAAAGCCAAGAGUCUGGCAUUAUUUCUUCCUGAAGACAUCUUCAGUAGCCUGUUUUACAUUGAUUCAUUGUUAUUCAAUGCACAUGCUUUCUAUUUAUUCCAGUUUCACUAUAGCUUUAGGUAGACAGUAAAUCAGCCUCACUCAAUGUACACAAUUAAUUGCCUAUCUAUGAAACAGGACUAGAAACCCACAGAUGAUGCUUGUCAGCAAAGUAGAGGGGUAUGAGGAGGACUGGAUUUAGUUAAGGGUAGGAAUGGCAGUAACUAAAAUGUGACAAACUUUGUUUAACACAAGUCUUAGCAUUUAUUUUGGAGAUGGACCAAAGGAAAAAAAAAGAGCCUUAUUAUCUUGUAAAGAAACCCUAGGUGUCUGAAAAAAAAUAUAUUUUGUCUUCAGUUUGAAUUGUUCUUAGAAAUAAAUGUCAUCUUAUACCACCACACUUAAAUAUGCUUUUAAAAUUUAAAAAGAAAGAAAGGUUUCAACAGUGUGCUUUUCAACUAAAUAACCUAGGAAUAAUGUAUUUCAAAAAAUUCAUAGCAGCAUUUUGGUACAUCUGCAUAUUCAGCUUUUUGCCCCUAAAUUUUGUGCAAGAAAAACAUACCCAAUUUUGAUAACUUGUUUCUCCCUGUAGAUAUGUCCAAUAAUACAAGUAAGCUGAAUAUAUGGUGGCUCCACCCAAAGGAUAGCCACUGAUGCUGAGAAUAGUAAAAACUUUCUUCUUCUCAGUUAUAAAAAUAUCUCUUUUGCUUUUUCUGCCAUGUUAGUGAAUUAAAGUGGUUCAUCAAGUGGUCUGACAAUUGCCUGAGCUAGCAAAAAAGAGAGGAGGUGGGCUGUAGCACUGGGAAAGGGGUGGGGUGGUAAGGAACAAAGAAGGCUUCCCUCCCUGAGCAGCAGUGAGCCCCUUCCCCUGCCCACCAGGCUGUAGCCCCUGCCACUGCCCCACCUGAGGCCCACCAAGAAGGACUUGAGCCCUGCUAUGCUUGGUUCUCAUGAAGAAAAUUCAUGGUGUGGAGGAAUUAUGCAACUGAGAUACAUAAGUUCCAGCUUUUAGGGGACAUAGGGACUGCUAAGAUAGGCUCUACCUAACAUUCACUGCUUGACCUUAAGAGGGAUGCAAAUCCACAACCCCACUUUACAAGGGGACAUCUAACCAUCAAGCCUGUGGCAUCCUUUAGGCCACAGUGUUGUGCUGGGACAAAGGGCAGUGAAGGGUGACAUGCAAUGCACAACUCCUGUACAUAUGGCAGCUGAACAAGGAUCUGACUGUCCAGGCUUCAUUGCUACUCUGUCCCUACUUCAUUGCUCUGCCUCUACCUCGCACUCCACACGUUGCUGACCAGUCACGAACUGUGUUGAUUUUUUUUGGAACAAAGCCCUGUGCAGUUAACAAAAGGGCAUACUUUAGGUCAGAGAAAAUGUCUCAAAGACUCCACCUUUAUCUCUUUUUACUCUGCCAACACAGGCAAUUAUAACCAGCUCUGCUCUCCCAGUGCACCUAGGUUACCAGUGCUGUCUGUUGUCCUUUCUCCAGACCCCAAGCUCUGUGUAAGUAGAGUUUCCAGCUGUGACUGUACACUCAGGCUUCCAGUUCCAGCAGCCCUGGCAGGACUGACUCUAGCUUUCAUCAGCACCACAUGCAGCUCAUCCCACUCAGCAGUAGGAUUCCUCAGUCCCUGUGUGAUCCCAGCUUCCAGGUGUGAGUGCCACUGAAUGACUUUUGAAAAAGUAGAGAUUCAGCUUACUAAAAACAGUGGCCUCAUGCCACUCAUGCAUUUUCUAUUCCUGCUUGAGGAAUCCUUAUAGCAGAUAACUGUGGGGUCUGUCUGGCCCCAUUUGCUUCCCUCCAGGGCAAUGCAGCACGUCUCCUCUCAGGAGGCCAAAACAUCUCACCUGAAAACGGCUUCUGCAGUUGAAGUAACCCACACUGAAAGGAGAUUUUGCACAAGUCACAAAAGAACCACCUUGGUAGACUUAUUUUUUUAAAUUCUUUCCUGGUGGCAGACACAUCAAACCCCACUCCACCCUGCAGAGGCACAAGAGCAUCAUAGUGCUCUCCCUCCAGCAUGAUACAGGAGAUGUGUUGCUGUUACUUACCACUGCUGCUGUGUACAUCUAAGUCUCUAUUUCAGACCAAGAAAAUGAAUGUUAAGUUUCUAAGAGAAUUUAAUCCAUGGGAUUUGUGGCUUUUUUCAGGAGAAAAUACUUAGCUCUGGUAAUUACACAGCAGCACCUAAAUUGUGAAAGGUUAACAGAAUUCAUUAGGCUUGAGGAUUGCUGGAAACAGAUUUAGUAACAGGCACCAACACGGUGUUUUGAUUGCAAAUACCACAUCAGUUGGUGUACAACUUGCUACAGUCUCAAGUAUCAAAAUCUCUUUGCAUCUGAAGCUCCCCUGCUCUGGUCAUACCUGCCCUGUCAGUUCAACACUGGCACUAUCUGAUAAAGAGCCAGGAAACUCCUGUAUAAAGGGGCUUCAGAAAGAGCUGUGAAAUGUGAAGCUUCAUGCAAAUCUCAAACAUGCAAGCAUGAUGCUUACAUGUAACCAAGUGAGACAGCCACCCUUUUUAAACUUUUGCAUUUUGAUCCUGUUGUAUGACUACUUGACCUUUGAUUUGAUUUUCCAAUACAGAAAGAAGACAUUCUAUUUUGUAAGUUUAAUACACACAUCACACAUAUACUUUUCUUUUCUCCUUGAGCAAAAGAAGGCAGCUUAAAAGACAAGUUCCCUGUGAUGGGAGGCUACAGAAAACUCACAUUUUGUACUGAAGGUCCCUCUUACUAAACUUCAUAGGGAGCAGAGAUCAAACUCUCAGCUCCAGUCUUGCUGAGAGUCUGCAGGACUCCAAUCUUGCCAUCAGUCUGCAGGAACCAAGCUACAAUUAAUACAUAUGUGGUGAGACAGAUUACUUGGGUUCACAUAUCCUUAAAGAGUAGCUUUUGAAGAUGUGAAAGCUAAAUUCCUUUUGAAAACCUGUCUUAUUCAUAAGUUCUGCAGCACAAAAUCUACUCAGUCUUCUUAUCUUUACCUCAGCAGAUGUGCUCGUCUUAGAAGUCAAGAGAGCGCUGCAAAAAUAAAAUAGUUGUUACUGAAAGGACAGAAUACAACCAACAUUUGCAUGUGAUCUAGAACAGAGAAAGAAUGCAACUGCAUGAAGUUUUCAUAGCAGCAAAGCCUGGCUGCAGAAGGCUGGGAAUAGAUUUAAUGAUUGAACAAGAGUAGAGAAAGAGAAGUAUGUCCAAAAAAACCUGAGUAAGGUGGGUGCUUGACUCCCCCUAAAGAAAUUUUCUUUUAAAAAAUUCAAGCCAGGAAUUCCAGUAUACCUGCUGGAACUCCCCUGAAGAAAUUAAAUUGUAUGACUCACCAGGAAUGUAACUCUCAUUAUCAAAUGAGGCUCAGCCUGCUCCUGGGUAUUCACUCGGUAUUGGUGCUCAGUGGUCUGGGGUUUUUUCAGUGACAUGUGAAGGACUGGUAGAAUAAUGUCAUGUAUAAGGAAUUUGUCAACCAUGUGCCACACUAGAAAUGAAACUAAUCCCUUGCAGGCUCACAAAGUACUUGCAACACAUUGUAUAUUAAUUCCAUAAUAACAGGGCAGUCUGAGAGAGACAGGUUGUUCCCUACCAAAUGUAAUGUUUCUACAUGGUGGCCAAAACCACCUGAGCUAAAUUUCUUUCACCAUAUGCAUGGCAAUGAGACAUGAAAAAUUCUUCACAUAGAAGUACCUGAAAACUGAACUGCAGGUUCCCACAAAUUCCCCAUAAUUACCUCCUCAAAACAGUUGCUUGAAGAAUACCUCUUUCUUAAGGUAAGCCAAACAGGAAAGGGAUAAAGGGACACAGACAAAGCCAUGUUUCAAGUGUAAAGAAAAUACCAUCAUUCUUCCAAUUAGAAACUAGUAACCAGGCAAGAUAACUGAUGAGUAAAAUGUCAUUGAAACUGGAAGAAAGGAUCUAAGUAGUUCUAGAAAAGAUGCAACAGUGAGAAUAGUCUUGUUUAUACAUCAACCCUAAAGACAGCAUUACCUUCAAACACAUACUGGAACACUGUAGGGACACACACAUGCUGUGGUCUUGUGGUCAAAUCAAGAUAGUAGUGUUGCAGAGCUUGAUCAGGGACAGGCUUUCCCAACAGAGUAGAGAUCCAUGCUCCUGGCUCUUGUGAGCUUUGGGGAACAUGCUCCAUGUCAGAAGACGCAGUGAAAGCUAAACAUUCAGACCUCAGAUCAUUUGGAUAGGUAACGGCACAAAUUUUUACAUGAUCCUGUACCAUUGGCAAUACCUUUGUAAUACUGGUUUGAUGCUGCCCAGCAGGUGGGGCAGGUGACCAGCAGAAGAAUCCAUGCUGACAAAUUGCAUUGCAUCUAAUUCUCCUGGGGUGAACACACUUUGACAGAGAACCACCCUGCUCCAGAGAAGCCUUCUAGGCCACAAGUUCAUCUGCUUGCAGGGAGAUGGGAUCCCUACACCAGCUCUGCUGUGGGACAUCCGCUUUUCCACUGUGGAUAACAUAUUCAGAGGAAGAGAUCCUGGCUCCACAGAAACAGGGAACAGCUUUGCAAUCAUCACAGUUGUGGAUAGGAUUUUGUCCUGAAGGUAUGGCUGGGGCACAGAAUGUGAUGACAACAAACAUCCCAAAGUACAAGCCUGCUCCUGGAGGGUGUAAGCAACACAGCAGUGUACCAUGAAGUGAAACAGAGCACUGUCAUGGUGCAGCUACAUCACAAGACUUUUCAUGAAAGCAGACAAAAGAUGCCAAAAUAUGUAUCAAGGUGGUCAAAGGGCAUGGUUAAACUGUUGUCUGAUCGUGGUUGUAGUGUGUUUUUAAUCAAUACUUCAAUCCAUAAUAAAAUUCAUUUUACAAAAAAUUGCAGCAUCUUCAAUAUCAACAGAAUCCGUACUAAAUGCAUUCCACAGCUGUUUUCUGAAUUUUACCUUAAAUAUUACAUUAGAAUGAACAGUACUCAAUCAAUUAAGUAUU